CAGAUUGAACGCUGGCGGCAUGCCUUACACAUGCAAGUCGAACGGCAGCGGGGGUAGCUUGCUACCUGCCGGCGAGUGGCGAACGGGUGAGUAAUACAUCGGAACGUGCCCUGUAGUGGGGGAUAACUAGUCGAAAGACUAGCUAAUACCGCAUACGACCUGAGGGUGAAAGUGGGGGACCGCAAGGCCUCAUGCUAUAGGAGCGGCCGAUGUCUGAUUAGCUAGUUGGUGGGGUAAAGGCCCACCAAGGCGACGAUCAGUAGCUGGUCUGAGAGGACGAUCAGCCACACUGGGACUGAGACACGGCCCAGACUCCUACGGGAGGCAGCAGUGGGGAAUUUUGGACAAUGGGGGCAACCCUGAUCCAGCAAUGCCGCGUGUGUGAAGAAGGCCUUCGGGUUGUAAAGCACUUUUGUCCGGAAAGAAAUCGCUUCGGUUAAUACCUGGAGUGGAUGACGGUACCGGAAGAAUAAGGACCGGCUAACUACGUGCCAGCAGCCGCGGUAAUACGUAGGGUCCAAGCGUUAAUCGGAAUUACUGGGCGUAAAGCGUGCGCAGGCGGUUGUGCAAGACCGAUGUGAAAUCCCCGGGCUUAACCUGGGAAUUGCAUUGGUGACUGCACAGCUAGAGUGUGUCAGAGGGAGGUAGAAUUCCACGUGUAGCAGUGAAAUGCGUAGAGAUGUGGAGGAAUACCGAUGGCGAAGGCAGCC
rnacentral:rRNA from 1 species